GACGAACGCUGGCGGCGUGCUUAACACAUGCAAGUCGAACGGAAAGGCCCUGCUUUUGUGGGGUGCUCGAGUGGCGAACGGGUGAGUAACACGUGAGUAACCUGCCCUUGACUUUGGGAUAACUUCAGGAAACUGGGGCUAAUACCGGAUAGGAGCUCCUGCUGCAUGGUGGGGGUUGGAAAGUUUCGGCGGUUGGGGAUGGACUCGCGGCUUAUCAGCUUGUUGGUGGGGUAGUGGCUUACCAAGGCUUUGACGGGUAGCCGGCCUGAGAGGGUGACCGGGGAACGUGGGAGGAAGGAGCGGCCCCGAGCCCGAGGGGGGGGGGCAGGGGGGAAGAAUGGAACAAGGGCGGAAGCGCGAUGCAGCACCGCCGCGGGGGGGGGGACGGCCUUCUGGGUGUAAAACGCUUUUGCCGGGGAAGACGAGGGAGGGGAGGGGAUGGGGAAAAAAGAACCGGCCAAAAACGCG
rnacentral:rRNA from 1 species